CAAAAUGAGAGUUUGAUCCUGGCUCAGGACGAACGCUGGCGGCGUGCCUAAUACAUGCAAGUCGAGCGAGCUUGCCUAUAGAAAUUCUUCGGAAUGGACAUAGAUACAAGCUAGCGGCGGAUGGGUGAGUAACGCGUGGGUAACCUGCCCUUAAGUCUGGGAUACCAUUUGGAAACAGAUGCUAAUACCGGAUAAAAGCUACUUUCGCAUGAAAGAAGUUUAAAAGGCGGCGUAAGCUGUCGCUAAAGGAUGGACCUGCGAUGCAUUAGCUAGUUGGUAAGGUAACGGCUUACCAAGGCGAUGAUGCAUAGCCGAGU
rnacentral:rRNA from 1 species